AUCGGACAACGGCAAACGAAUGGGGAGGCCAGCAUGUUCUUCGACAACGUGGUUAUCGCCGGUGUGGUAACGGUCGGGUUGAUGUUUGCCUUCUUUGCCGGUCUGGGCAUUUUCAUCUGGAAGGACUCGAAAAAGCGCAAGCCGCGUUGACCUUCCGGGUACACGAGCACGCAAGGCAUUUAGGGCGACUUCGGUCGCCCAUUUUUUUG
rnacentral:sRNA from 1 species